AUACUUACCUGGCAGGGAAGACGCUACGAUCACGAAGGUGGUUUUCCCAGGGCAAGGCUCCAUUGCACUGUGGAUGCGCUGACCUCUGUGAUUUUCCCAAAUGUGGGAAACCUGACUGCAUAAUUUGUCUUAGUGGGGGACUGCAUUCGCACUCUCCCUUG
rfam:Cavia porcellus supercont2_17 genomic scaffold, whole genome shotgun sequence.